CACGUAGUUAGCCGUGGCUUUCUGGUAAGGUACCGUCAAGGUACGAGUAGUUAAUUCGUACUUGUUCUUCCCUUACAACAGAGUUUUACGAUCCGAAAACCUUCAUCACUCACGCGGCGUUGCUCCGUCAGACUUUCGUCCAUUGCGGAAGAUUCCCUACUGCUGCCUCCCGUAGGAGUCUGGGCCGUGUCUCAGUCCCAGUGUGGCCGAUCACCCUCUCAGGUCGGCUACGCAUCGUUGCCUUGGUGAGCUAUUAUCUCACCAACUAGCUAAUGCGCCGCGGGCCCAUCUACAAGUGACAGCCGAAACCGUCUUUCAUCUUCGCAUCAUGUGAUACGAAGUAUCAUCCGGUAUUAGCACCGGUUUCCCGGUGUUAUCCCGAUCUUGUAGGCAGGUUGCCCACGUGUUACUCACCCGUCCGCCGCUCGUUCCACAUACGUCCACCCGAAGGCUUCUGUAUGCUUCCCGCGCUCGACUUGCAUGUAUUAGGCACGCCGCCAGCGUCGUCC
rnacentral:rRNA from 1 species